ACCAGACUCCUACGGGAGGCAGCAGUGAGGAAUAUUGGUCAAUGGGCGAGAGCCUGAACCAGCCAAGUCGCGUGAGGGAAGACUGCCCUAUGGGUUGUAAACCUCUUUUGUCAGGGAGCAAUUGGCGCUACGUGUAGCGUUAUCGAGAGUACCUGAAGAAAAAGCAUCGGCUAACUCCGUGCCAGCAGCCGCGGUAAUACGGAGGAUGCGAGCGUUAUCCGGAUUUAUUGGGUUUAAAGGGUGCGUAGGCGGGCUGUUAAGUCAGCGGUUAAAUGUCGGGGCUCAACCCCGGCCUGCCGUUGAAACUGGCGUUCUUGAGUGGGCGAGAAGUAUGCGGAAUGCGUGGUGUAGCGGUGAAAUGCAUAGAUAUCACGCAGAACUCCGAUUGCGAAGGCAGCAUACCGGCGCCCAACUGACGCUGAAGCACGAAAGCGUGGGUAUCGAACAGGAUUAGAUACCCUUGUAC
rnacentral:rRNA from 1 species